rnacentral:rRNA from 1 species
UACGUAGGGCGCAAGCGUUGUCCGGAAUUAUUGGGCGUAAAGAGCUCGUAGGCGGCUUGUCACGUCGGAUGUGAAAGCCCGGGGCUUAACUCCGGGUCUGCAUUCGAUACGGGCUGGCUAGAGUGUGGUAGGGGAGAUCGGAAUUCCUGGUGCAGCGGUGAAAUGCGCAGAUAUCAGGAGGAACACCGGUGGCGAAGGCGGAUCUCUGGGCCGAUACUGACGCUGAGGAGCGAAAGCGUGGGGAGCGAACAGG